rnacentral:lncRNA from 1 species
CCUCUUAUCCUCCUCUUUCUUUCCUUCUCCCCUUCUCCUCCCUUUCUCCUCCUCCCUUUCUCCUCCUUCUCCUCCCUUUCUCCUCCUCCUCCUCCCCUUCUCCUCCUCUUCCUUUCCUCCUCCCUUUCUUCGGUGGCCGGCGGUGGGGGGAUGGACGGCCGACGGUGAAGGGGGAUGGGCGGCCAGCGGCAGCGUAGGUGGGUGUGGCGGUGGCGGUCAAGGAGCGUGGGGGUGUGAGCUGAGGGAGUGGGGGAGAUUGCGGGCGUGAUGUGGAUAAGUCCCCCCGAGGGGGGUUUGACGUGUGCUGGAUCAAGGGCACACGGCAAACAUCGGCUCUUUGCCGUGUGCCACGAUCGGGCUCACAGCGAACAUUUUUUACUUAUUUGUUUCAUUUUUUGUUUUCAUUUAUUUUUUCAUUUUAAAAACUCUUUGCCAUGUGUACCACUGCUAACACACGACAAACUAUGUGUUUGCCGUGUGCUGCAGCAAGGGGCACACGACAAACAGUUAACAACAUUUUAUGUAUCAAUCCUAUAAUUUUUUCUUUACAAGUAUACUUACUUAAUAAAUUGAAGUUUUUAUGUAAUUACUUUGUCAAAUUAACUUCACAAUGUCUAUUCCAUGUUUACAAACAUGUUACACCACUAUUUCAUGUGUUUAUUUCUUUAAUUGUGAAUUUUCUCGUUUCAAAAUCAAUAAAUGCUGAAAAUAAUUAAGAAAUAGCAAACGAUUCUGAAAAAUUCCCAAAUUUGGACAUGACACAACCUAUGUGGUGUAGUGCCUAUAGAAAAAGUUUCGAAAUUAAACUCAAAUACGAAAGUCAAAUCUACACCAACUCAUGCUCCUUCACUCGCAACUCUCUAAAACUUCUCCGGAGAUUGUCCGGUUUUUACACAUCAUACAUGACAACUUGUUCGAAAUCUUUCCAAACUUUUUCUAUGACCUCAUAUGUACAAGUUUCAAGAUUUAUGGAACAAAAUAGCAUUUAUUAUAAUUUUUGAAAAGUACUGACGCACGUUCGGCGUCGUGUCUCCUAACCACGGCAUU